rnacentral:rRNA from 1 species
AUGACAUGGCAGUGCUUUCAUAGCUCACUAUCCAUCUGCGAUUCACCAGGGCUCUGUGGCAACUUGGUGGCACAACAUGUAACCUUGGUAUCUCACGCACACCCAGGUGGAUCAUCACCUGACAAAAUAGGACCAACAAAAUGUUACCUUGACGGCAUGGCAACACAGGAUCUCCUGCUCCUUGCACAUGCACAUGAAUGCUUCACCGUCUUCUCUAGCAUUGACCCCAUAUUCCAACCUAGAUCAUUUUUCCCUGGUUUUACUGUUGGGAUGCGGUGCUAUGUAUUUCAAGUUGGCAAUUACUGCCUCCACUAA